CACACACACACACACACACACACACACACACACACACACACACACACACACACACAUUAUUGUAUUUGUUACCUUCUUGGAACCUGAGAAAAAUAAUAUAUUCAAACUAUGCAAAUAUAAAAAAGAGGGGGAGCACUUCACAUAUGCAGUCCUCUCCAAGGUUUCUCAUAGUCAUUCACAUCGACGUCCCACUGGGUCUGAUAGACUGCGCGACCCUGACGGACAUCCAGUCGAAGCUCUAAAGAAAG